rnacentral:rRNA from 1 species
UACGGGGGGAGCAAGCGUUGUUCGGAUUUACUGGGCGUAAAGGGCGCGUAGGCGGUCGUGACAAGUCACUUGUGAAAUCUCCGGGCUUAACUCGGAACGGUCAAGUGAUACUGUCGGACUAGAGUACAGAAGGGGCAACUGGAAUUCUCGGUGUAGCGGUGAAAUGCGUAGAUAUCGAGAGGAACACCUGCGGCGAAGGCGGGUUGCUGGGCUGAUACUGACGCUGAGGCGCGAAAGCGUGGGGAUCAAACAGG